UCGGUGAAGCCAAUCAGAGGAUGGCCUAGGGAGGGAGCACGAAAGGAUGAAUGAAAAGUCCGGAGCCGGAGCGCUCCGGGGCCAGCGCGGCGGCGGAGGCUAACGAGGGAGCUGGGGAGGUGAGACCCAUUCUACCCUGCUCGCCUCUGCACGGCAGAGGCUGAGAUUCGGGUGGGCGCAUCCGCCCUAGCCCUGCUGAGCCCUGGCACCCAGGACCCAGGGCCAUGGAGCUCCGUGGGCGGGAAGGGCCCAGAGGACAACAUCUGGGAGCACGGAUAGGCGCCUCGGGCUCGAUGAAACUCCAUGAUCUUGUUUAUGCCUGUCUUGGGAAGUCCUUCCCAAUGUCUAGCCAAGAUCUGUACUGCUGAAGCAUCAGCUCCUUGACCCUUGGCUGGACAUGACUGAUCUGAGAAGUAAAGAAGAAACUGCCACCCACCUUUGGUCACUUGUUUGAGUUUCCUGGACUCCAGCUGUUGGGAUAGGGAAACUGAGACUUGGCUCGCUUGGUGAGAGGUCCAAGUGCCCUUAAAGACUUAGGAGCCUCAGGUCUAAAAUCUUUUGUUUAGAGAAGGGGAGUCGAUGUCACCAAAUGCUUGGGAAUCCCUCUUCCUUGGCGCCAUCCUCACCCAAAGAAAGAGGCGAGAGCCAGAGACCCUUGGGAAGUGAUAGUCUCCCAAGGUUUGGGGGUAUGGGGAGCCUCUGGAAGGCACACUCUCCCCUCUCACCAUUGGGAGGUUCCAACAGGGUCCCUGAGAAAUCCUGAAAUGGUGAGAAUUUGUCCUUCCUCUGGACUCAAGCAGAAGGUUGAGAAAAUGGUCAUCUUGACCUAGAGGAGCAUCUACAAGGGACCCUGAGCAGGGCCCAGCUUUGCUAAGGGAAUCUGGAAUGAGGAGCAGGUGGAGAGAAAAAGGCCAUUCUCAACUGAGGAGGAGUGGGCUGGCAGGGAGAGGCUGGGGAUAAUUUAUGAUGUCAUUGUUCCCCACCCCACUUUCUCAGCCCCCACCUUCUUCCCAGACCCCUGCUACCGAACCGUUGCUAGGAGAUGCUGGCUCUGCUUGGAGCUGGGUGGGUGGAACAGGUGGAGACUGUUCCAUCUGGACUCCUCCUCCCCCACCCAGGAGAGGGCCUGCAUAGACCUUCGUCUACCAUCCUUUCCCAAGCCCUGACAGACACCAGUCUCUUCUGCUGUUCCCCCCCAAUCCAGCCAACCUGGGGCUAGGAGGCUUCCCAGGCAGGCUGAGGAUUUGGAGCAAGGAAUGGGGAAGGGAGCUGUGGAGGGAGAGGCGGGCAGACUUAGUUGGGAUGUUGAAGAACAGCCAGCUUAGCUCAGGGCCUCUGGGAGCCAGCCCAGGCCCAGAAGAGGGCAAGAAGAGGGCAGGGGCACAUGUGUCAAGGAGCCCAUAUUUGAGGGAGACCAAAACCUUACCUUUGGGGGGUUUCCAGUAUGAUGAGUGAGGCAGACCUCCUAUCCCCAUACGUCCGUAGUAUGGUCAAGGUUAGGGAUCUGACAAGGAUAGAGUUGUGGGUUGGGUGGGGAUGAGGUAGGGAAAGGAGGAGGUAAAGCAGGGAAAAGGGACAUAGGUUUGGGGAGUCUGAGAGUCUGGGUAGAGGAAGGUGGCACAGAUAUGAGCAGAACUGGGCAGUGUAGAGGCGAGGCUGAGAAGCCCCACUCCUCUCUCUGAAAUCUCGUCUCAAAUUUUAAAGCUCUUUGGAGAAGUCAACUCAGGUGAGUUUUCGGGGCUACCAAAGCUGCUGGCUCCCAACCCCAGAUGGGGCAGGAAAGGAAUUAUUUGCCCACAGCUGUGCUUCUGACCCAAUUUCUGUGCAGCUCCUACUGACUUCAUACUUCUAUUGUAGGCACAGCUCCACUGCACCCCAGGAAGGAAGGAACUGACCUUGAUUAGGCACCCACUUGCUUGUGUAAGCCCUUUCUCAGCUGUUACCUUGGUUAAUCUUCCAAAAGUCCUAAAAACUGGGAGACAUUGUCCCCACUUUACAAAAGUGGAAUCAGAGCCCAAGAAAGACAUGUUGCCUAGCAUCACAGGACUAGCAGGUUGGGCUGGGCUUCAGGUGAGGCUUCGUGGAUCCUGGAGCAUAUGCUUGCUCUCUCUCCUCCUGCACGGACUUCUGGCAGAACAUGCUCCAAACACAAUGGGAGGGACUGAUGGGAGAGAGGAGCAGAUAGGCAGGGGGACUUCUGGACAAGUUCUCAGACCAAGAAAAAGAACCUAUUUCACCCAGUUGGCCUGGUUCCCUCCAAGAGGCCUUCCUGGGUUGACUGAAAGAUGAGGCUAAACUCUAACAAGUUGGCUGCUUCCUUCAAGAAGCCUGUGAACAGGAUGGAAGGAGAGAGGCCCCAGCUUCCAGCCUGGACAGCCGAUUACACCCGGGGCCACCUGGAAUAAGGCUUGGCUUCACCAUUGGCUCUGGUCCCAUCCCAUCCUGGUUUUGCCUGUGUUGUCUAAGCUGAGAUUCCUCUGAGGAGGGAGUCCCAUCUCCUGUCUAAUAAAGACUCUUGGCUACUGAACAACAGUA